rnacentral:lncRNA from 10 species
AUUCUUGUCUGAUCUUGGCUGAUAUUAGGAGAGGCAGUCUAACCCAGAUGAAUGAAACUCUGCUUCCUUGAUCAUGGCUGCAAAGGGACACCGCCCCACGCCCCACCUCCUCUGUGCGGAGAUAGGAGGAAUCCCUCAGACCCCACAGCUCUCUCUCAUCUCUGGCAGCCUGCGCCCCAGGAGUAUGAGAUGAAAGAGAUCCACACGAUGGUCCCUGGCAUCUUUGGCUACUGUUAUUCUUCUAUAUCCCUUGGCCUAGGGAUCUAUUUUAGGCAGUAACUUCCACUCCCUCUCUGUCAGAAACCUCUCUCAUCAUUGAGCUAGAUUUUGGAAGUGUAGGAACAUCUGGUUUUUGGACUGUGAGUCCCCUCAAGGCUGAUAGGAUGUUUAAUUUUAGCUAAUGAAUGGAUGUUUAAUUUAUGAGUAUAUGAUGAAUAAAUAAAACCAGCUCUGAUGGUUUCAUUUUAAUCUCAUUCCAAGACAAAUCUUACUUUCUAUAUUUUCCCCCACAAAAACGGAUUUUUCUUCUCCAUUUCAAUUCUUUUCAUCUCCCUCUCCCCAAAAUCUCCAAUUAUCAGCUCUUCCAUGGAAAAUUUCUUCUCUACUCUCUGUUCUGACUUGUUCAUGAUCUAGUAGUUUUCUCUAAGGAAGGCUAUGUAGUUUGGAGGUUAUAAAGCUCAGGCUUCCUGAGUUCAAGUCCCAAUUCCACCAUUUGAUGGUUGUAACCUCUGUGCGUCUCAGUGUCCCCAUUUGUAAACUGGUGCUAGUCAUAGACACCAGGUUGUGGGGUUACCGAAGGAGGGGUAAUGAAGGUAAAAAAAGAGCAUCUAUCAUAGAACCUGGCAACUGAUGAAAGAUUCAAUAAUGUUGACUGUUAGUAACAUUUCAGUAACAUUUUACUUAAAUAGAUAGAGGUUAUGAUAUUAUCUAGGUAGGUAGCCCUUUCUUAAUGGCCUCAGUCUAACCCAACACUUUAUCAUAUGGGGAGAAAAUGUAUAAUGGAACUGUGAGGAAAAAUCUGGAAGAAUGGGUUGCUGGUGCCAGAGAGGAGGUGACUGGAAAGUGUAACAGCCUCUCUUGCCCUGCCCUGAAGCCACUUCCACGUGCCUCAGAGCCUUUGAGCCUCCAGCAACUCUGCCAUCUGCUCCAGGUGUGAACUUUGCACACAGUGAGCUCACUGAGGUCUGGCCUACUGAUCAGCUGUCUUAUUCCCCCCUUUCAAAAAAAGGAGCUGCACCGUCAUGAGUACAAACAACUUGCCUGGGUCUACAACCCCAAGGUGACAAUGUGGAGUUGUGAUCCCAGGUCUUCAGAGGACCAGCUGGGACCUUUGGGACCCCAAGGUGACGAUGUGGAGUUGUGAUCCCAGGUCUUCAGAGGACCAGCUGGGACCUUUGGGACCCCGAGGUGACGAUGUGGAGUUGUGAUCCCAGGUCUUCAGAGGACCAGCUGGGACCUUUGGGACCCCGAGGUGACGAUGUGGAGUUGUGAUCCCGGGUCUUCAGAGGACCAGCUGGGACCUUUGGGACCCCGAGGUGACGAUGUGGAGUUGUGAUCCCGGGUCUUCAGAGGACCAGCUGGGACCUUUGGGACCCCGAGGUGACGAUGUGGAGUUGUGAUCCCGGGUCUUCAGAGGACCAGCUGGGACCUUUGGGACCCCGAGGUGACGAUGUGGAGUUGUGAUCCCGGGUCUUCAGAGGAUCAGCUGGGACCUUUGGGACCCCGAGGUGACGAUGUGGAGUUGUGAUCCCGGGUCUUCAGAGGACCAGCUGGGACCUUUGGGACCCCGAGGUGACGAUGUGGAGUUGUGAUCCCGGGUCUUCAGAGGACCAGCUGGGACCUUUGGGACCCCGAGGUGACGAUGUGGAGUUGUGAUCCCGGGUCUUCAGAGGACCAGCUGGGACCUUUGGGACCCCGAGGUGACGAUGUGGAGUUGUGAUCCCGGGUCUUCAGAGGACCAGCUGGGACCUUUGGGAGAUGCAGAGCUGCUGCGGCGCUCUUCACAUGCACUUGAUCUGCUGUGUCCACUAAAUCUACCCCACUUCUAAC